GGGCCUUUGUCGCUCCCACCAGAGCUUGGGAUCUGUCUCCACUCUUCUACGUUCUUCACCUCGGGAGCCCUUGGUGACUCUGUGACGGCCUCUGUUUCCCUGUGAUCUGCAGGUCGGGAGAGACGCACAGCUAAGAUGCCAGGACAUCCUGAAAGCUGGGAAAGGCUUGCUUUGGAGAACAAAUGAUCUCAUAUUUGUUGACUGUAGAUACCAGCUUUUGAAACUGGAAGUUCUAAAAAAGGUCUUGCCAUCUCUAAGCUGGACCUGGUGACUUUUUUGGAGGGAAAGAAAGAGCCCUGGACUGUGAAGAGUGAGGAGACCAUAGCUGCACAG
rnacentral:lncRNA from 1 species